GACGAGCGCUGGCGGCGUGCUUAACACAUGCAAGUCGAACGAAGUGGCGAACGGGUGAGUAAUACGUGAGUAACCUGCCCUCCUUUUUGGGAUAAGCCUUGGAAACGGGGUCUAAUACCGAAUAAAGGGGGAUGGGCUCGCGGCCUAUCAGCUUGUUGGUGGGGUGAUGGCCUACCAAGGCGGUGACGGGUAGCCGGCCUGAGAGGGUGACCGGUGACAUUGGGAGUGAGAUACGGCAGAGACGCCUACGAGAGGGAGAGGUGGGGGAUAGUGCACAAUGAGCGAGAGUCUGAGGCAGCGACGCCGCGUGGGGGAUGAAGGCGUUCGGGUUGUAAAACUCUUUCGCUUGCGAAAGGGUAGGUGGAGACGAAGCGCCGGCUAGCUACGUGCCAGCAGCCGCGGUAAUAC
rnacentral:rRNA from 1 species